GNCNNNCUAGGAGACGCUGGCGGCGUGCCUAACACAUGCAAGUCGAGCGAUGAAGCCCUUCGGGGUGGAUUAGCGGCGGACGGGUGAGUAACACGUGGGUAACCUGCCUUAUAGAGGGGGAUAGCCUUCCGAAAGGAAGAUUAAUACCGCAUAACAUGUUUUUAUCGCAUGGUAGAAACAUCAAAGGAGUAAUCCGCUAUAAGAUGGACCCGCGGCGCAUUAGCUAGUUGGUGAGGUAACGGCCCACCAAGGCGACGAUGCGUAGCCGACCUGAGAGGGUGAUCGGCCACAUUGGAACUGAGACACGGUCCAGACUCCUACGGGGGGGAGCAGUGGGGAAUAUUGCGCAAUGGGGGAAACCCUGACGCCGCAACCCCGCGUGAAUGAAGAAGGCCUUAGGGUUGUAAAGUUCUGUUUUCUGGGACGAUUAUGACGGUACCAGAAGAGGAAGCCCCGGGUAACUACCUGCCAGCAGCCCCCCGUAAUACCUAAGUGGCAAGCGUUGUCCCGAUUUUCUGGGCGUAAAGGAUGCGGUAGGCGGAUGUUUAAGUGAGAUGUGGAAAAACCCCAGCUCCACUUGGGGGCUGCCUUUCUAACUGGAUAUCUAGAGUGCCGGAGAAGGAAAGCGGAAUUCCUAGUGUAGCGGUGAAAUGCGUAGAGAUUANGANGAANACCACUGGCGAAAGCGGGUUUCCUGGACUGUAACUGACGCUGAAGCAUGAAAGCGUGGGGGAGCCAACAAGAAUAAAUACCCCGGGAGUCCCCCCCGUAAACGAUGAAUACCAAGUGUAAGGAGGGAUCGACUCCUUCUGUUGCCCCAGUUACACAAUAAAUAAUUCCGCCUGGGGGAGUAACGAUCGCAAGAUUAAAACUUCAAAGGAAUUGACGGGGGGCCCGCCCCACGCAGCGCGAACAUGUGGUUUUAUUUCUAAGCACGCGAAAAACCUA
rnacentral:rRNA from 1 species